CAUUGUCCAACAAAUAAAUGAAAUGUAGAGAAAUGGAGAAACCAAAACUUGACAUGAUCAGUCUGCCCCAGCAGCACCAACUGUGCUUUUCUUGGCAUCCUUUACAAACCACUAUAAUCUCCGUGCAAGUUUGCUAGUGGAAUCCUGUCUAGCACCCAGUUACACUUCAGUGGAGCCAAGGUUCUCAAUUCCUCAAUCACUUACACCAGCCAGGGGCUCCUCU
rnacentral:lncRNA from 1 species